UACGUAGGGUGCAAGCGUUAAUCGGAAUUACUGGGCGUAAAGCGUGCGCAGGCGGUUGUGCAAGACCGAUGUGAAAUCCCCGGGCUUAACCCUGGGGAAUGGCAUUGGUGACUGCACGGCUAGAGUGUGUCAGAGGGGGGUAGAAUUCCACGUGUAGCAGUGAAAUGCGUAGAGAUGUGGAGGAAUACCGAUGGCGAAGGCAGCCCCCUGGGAUAACACUGACGCUCAUGCACGAAAGCGUGGGGAGCAAACAGG
rnacentral:rRNA from 1 species